rnacentral:rRNA from 1 species
CACGGCCUAACACAUGCAAGUCGAACGCACCUUCGGGUGAGUGGCAGACGGGUGAGUCACACGUGGGAACGUGCCCUUCGGUUCGGAAUAACUCAGGGAAACUUGAGCUAAUACCGGAUACGCCCCCAGGGGGGAAAGGUUUACUGCCGAAGGAUCGGCCCGCGUCUGAUUAGCUAGUUGGUGGGGUAAUGGCCUACCAAGGCGACGAUCAGUAGCUGGUCUGAGAGGAUGAUCAGCCACACUGGGACUGAGACACGGCCCAGACUCCUACGGGAGGCAGCAGUGGGGAAUAUUGGACAAUGGGCGAAAGCCUGAUCCAGCCAUGCCGCGUGAGUGAUGAAGGCCUUAGGGUUGUAAAGCUCUUUUAUCCGGGAAGAUAAUGACUGUACCGGAAGAAUAAGCCCCGGCUAACUUCGUGCCAGCAGCCGCGGUAAU